rnacentral:miRNA from 1 species
CGGCUGGAGGUGUGAGGAUCUGAGCCCAGGGGUGAGAGGGUGGAGGCGGCUCUUGCAAUCGAAAGGGACUUGAGACUCACCAGCCACACGCCGUGAAGGCCCUGUGGGUGCUGGGCCUCUGCUGCAUCCUGC